AAAUGAUUGCUUUUAUAUUACCAGAUUAUUUGUUUUGCUUAGCGGCAACAGUCCUCUGUACGGUUGAAACACCAUCCACAAAUUUAGUUCGGAAAAGAACAUUUGCAUUGUUGAACAUGCCUUCUUUCAGCGAAACCACAAUAAACUGGGAAUGUGGAAAGUGAGCUUUGAUCAUUCUCCCUAUGUUCUGCGUAUGGCUUAAAUCAAGAGCAGCAUCAACCUCAUCCAGGAUAUAAAGUGGAGCUGGCUUGAAGAGAAGCAAUGCCAAGAUUAGAGAAAGGGCAAGCAGAGACCGUUGACCUCCACUUAGUUCUGACAAGGAUUGUUUCCAAACACCUCCAAAUGCAACACGAACCUC
rnacentral:misc_RNA from 1 species